CAAAUAGCUUAUAAAGAGCGUGACACUGAAGAUGUUAAGGAGACUUUAGGGUCUUUGAAUAGAU
rnacentral:tRNA from 1 species